AAUACGUGUUAUGUGUAUAAUAAUAUUGUUAUUUAUUUGAGAUGAUUGUGGAAUGGAUGAAGUAUAUAAGUUUUAAUGAGUUAAACUAUAUAUGUAUUUUGUAUCUAAAAAUAUGUUGGGUAGAACAUGAGUAGAUGAGGCUGUUGGUAGGUGAUAAAAGGUGGGUUGGACCAUGAGAUAAAAGGAUAAAGAGAUAACCUUGUUUUAGAUCCGAGAGUAUGGAUCAGAGCAGGAGGUUAGUUUUAGAUCCAAGGGUAUGAAUCAGAUCAAGAGGUUAGUUUUAGAUCCGUGAAUAUGGAUUAGGUAAUGAGGCAAAUUUAAGAUCCGGGAGUACGGAUUAUGUAUUUUAGAGCUACGUGUUCUUUCGAUAAGGUAUCAUGUGUAUAUUCCCUUUUAGGAACGUGAUUUUAAUACGAGUAUUGAUUAUAAUAUGAAAUAUACAUAUGUAAGUGAAGUAUUUGUCAUUGUCUGAAAUACGUGGUAGAUAUAUUUGAUAAUAUACAACGUGCGAAUCAAAUAUGGUUCAAUAUGUGUUAAGAUGUUUAUAUAUGAUACUAUUACUUAAAACCUUGUGUUAAGUAUACACUAGUUAGCGUUUCCUAAACGGAGAUAGUAUCAAAAAUUUAAUUAUAAACAUUAUAGGUUUGCCUUGUGAUGGGUUAAGACUUAAAUGGGAUGUUUAGUUCAAUUAAGAUUGGAAUUUGGGUAGUCUCUUUUUAAGAGUACGUGUGGGGUGAGAUUGAUGAUCGGUGGAUUACGUCCUACGUACAGAAGUACAUUUUAUGUACGAAGUAUUUUUCAAAGUUCUUUGUCUUGGGUGCUGCUUGUGCCAGGGCACUAUUAUUUUCUCGGGUUCGAGCCUUUCGCAUACCAGAGUACUAUAAUGUGCCAGAAGUACUACCAUGUACAAAGUCUUUUUGACAUUUUUGUGUAUCGGCUACGGGAGCGUACGGGAGUACUCUAAUAGUAUUUCCCCAUACUUUUGUUUUGAGAGAGCUUUAGAGUCAGCGUUUCUUUUAUGAAGUGAUCGACCGAGCUUCAUAUGUCAGCGUUUUCUUUCACGAAGUAAUUAAGGGAUAUUCGUAGACUUCCUAAUAAAGUUUGUCGGUAAUAGACCACUGCUAGGUAUGUCUCGUGUUAUAAUGUUGGAUAGGGGGCGUCUGGGGGUGAGAUACCUCAUGUAUUCAGACCACAACCUAGGCAUUAGUCGGUGUUUCCAUUUCCGAUGUCGGAUAGGGUGAGUCUGGGGGUUCAGACCACAGCCUAGGCAUUAGUCAGCGUUUCCAUUGUCGGAUAGGGUGCGUCUGGGAGCUAUAUACCUCACGAUAUUCAUACCACAGCCUAGGCAUUGAUAACUACCCUUGACUUAGUUGUCUUGUGGUUCUUCUUUUAUGAACGAAGGUUCAUGGUGAAAUUUAUUCCAUUCCCCUCAAUUGAUGUCUUUAUUGAUCCUCGUUUGCUGCCAGGGAAUUUCCUAAACAGCUUCGUCAGUUUGUGGUCAGUAUGUGGGGAUCGACGGGAUGGGAUAUAUUGUUUUAGAAAUAUAAUUUGUAUGUGUUUGUAAUAUUAGUGGUUUUGCAGGAUCGAGAUAUACUUUAUUAUCACAUUGUUUGAACUAAGAGCUUUCAUACUCUGUGUUCCUUAGGUGGUUAGGUUCACCAGGGAUAUUUGAACUAAUUGUACAUUAGAUAUUUGAACAUAGUGUUCAUCAGGGAUAUUUGAACUAAGGGUUCAUUAAGUGUUUGUGAACUAGGUGUUCAUUGGGUAAUAUUGGCACUAAGUGUUCAUUAGGUGUUCAUUAAUUAUUGUGAAUUGCGUGUUCACCAGAGGUAAUCUAAGAACCUUGGCAGCACUAGACUUUAUGCCAGUUCCUUAGGACAAUCCUUUGGAAUGAAUGGGAGAAGGGUAAUCGGUUCUUAGGAUAAAUCUUUAAGAAAUAAAUGGAGAUAAUGGGGGUGAGUAUUUGAAUUGAUUGUUUGAUAAUUGAAUAUAAUAAUCAUAUUAUUGUGGGUUGAAAACCCUAUAUGCUCACCAGGCUCCCAAGCCUGACCCACUCAGUUUUCUUUGCAUUACAGGUAAUGGCACAAGAGUAUAAGUUGGUGGACUUGACGAGAGAUUUUGGAUUAUAGGCCAGUAGUUAUGAAUAACUGUUGUAAGGUCUAUUUUGUUAUGUUUAUGCUUUUGGUCUGUAUUGAACAUGAUAUCCCGAGAUUUUGUUAUAUAAUGAAAAUAAAUUUCUUUAAAGAAAUGCUUUGAUAAUUUUUAUCAUAUUUUGUUUUGGGAACAAAUUCCGCAACUGUUUUCUUUAAAAGAUUACUUUGAUUUUAAAAACAAAGCAUAAACAAAUCGGUCUUUUAUGACCGUGAAAUUGGGGAUGUCACAGUUGGUAUCAGAGCAUUAGUUUAAGCGAACUAGGAAUUUGUAGGAAAUUUCUAGACUUAAACUUAGAAUGCUAAGUAAUGAUUGUGAGGAGUGUGUCUAAAAUAUGUUAGGUAGUACACCUAAAUUGACACAAGCACUAGUUUAUUUUAGGAAUGAUGCCUAAAAUGCUUUUAUGUGCUAAAUGUUUUGUGUGAUAGCUAUAUUGAUGCUAUUAUUUGUUCGGUCUAUGGUCUGUUGCCGACCGGAUCUGGAAACUUUAUGUGUUUAGGAUUCUAAGCGUAUGACUACGAUAUUAGAACUAGCAUGUAAAAGUUUCGGGAUGAUAAGGAGAUUUAUACGUUUAUCAUAAUUAAAGCUUUCUUAUCUUAAAUUCUCGCUUGGUACACCGAAUGUCUGCUUGGAUGUACAAGAGGUCAUGGUGAAGACUCGUAGAGAAAUUGAGUAAGUGGAGGAAAUGAAGAAGGCUUAUGAUAGUGGAUGACACCUAUCAGAAGAUAUCGUAAGAGUAGUAUCUUGCCUUUAGAGUAUGUCUUAUAAAAUAACAGUACGUUUAGAGGAGUACGGUACGUCUGGAGUACACCUCCGAUUGGCAGGAUGAUGUAACGAUUAGUGUAAUUCUUGAAGUUGUCUCAUCAUCUGGUAUUUCCAUCACCAUCCGAGUUGAAGUAGAAUUGAUGAUUGAAGAUGUGCGAUGAAGAAGUCCUAGUAGAGUCUUGGGAAACUGUUUAUAAUUAUUUGGACACAUUCGUAUGUGUUAAAUUGUUUUGUGAUUUUCUUGUAUGGUGACUUGGUCGACUGCGGGACAAUACUUGGGACGAGUAUGAGUAGGUGUGAAAGGUAGUAGAUGCAUAUACUACCAGAAGCACAGGACUCGCACUUGGAUCAGGGAAAGUCACAAGGUUACCAAGAAGCUGGUGAUUGAUUUCAUUUUAUUCGAGUAUGUCAUUACCCUUGUUUCGGUAAUGACUAGUGAGAUGGUUGUUAUUCCGACCCUAGUGGUCAUAUAAAUUUGAGUUCGACUGCGAUUAGUAUGUUACGUGGUCUAGAGGGCCAAGUUAGAUGUAACAUCUGACUUAAUUCAGAAGGUUGAAAUUAAUGCGAUCGAUAGUAUCGCGCUUGUUGUUAAAGAAGUUUGCAGGUAGAAGUGCUACAUGCUGAAAUGUGAUUAUAUCACAUUAGAAUAUGAAGGAAGACAUAUUCCAUUUUGGAAUUUAACUCUAAAAGACCGAGUCUAAGCGUCACAUCAUGCGAUGAGAGGUCAAUAGAGCACGACCCAUCGGUCUGUUGCAAUAGAUAAAUGAAAGUAUUUAUCAUAAGAAGAAGGAGGAGUCCAUAAUAAGGACUUAUUUGGUAACUCGAAGGUUGCGAUUGAAAGUACAACAUGGUACGAAAAGCACAAGCAAGAUUUGGGCAUCGUCUGCAGUCAAGAAAGCCAUAAAGUUAAAUACUCUUUCGAGGAAACAUAGAAGUUACGGUUAUUACCUAGGAUGAAGAAUUAACGUGUGGAAUCAUUAUGCCAAUCCUAUUUUGUUGAUGAUUCGGGGACGUAAUCAUCCUAAGGGGAGAUAAUUGUAACGCCCGUAGAUUAGGGCUAGUCAAUUUAGAGAUGAUAAGCGGCAAAAAUGACCUUUGGAUAGAAGAUUAUUUAGAAUGAAUAAUCUUAACUAAGUUUUAGUCUAUGUCACAAGGAUUUCGUACAUAUAAAGAACGCCGAGAUCCGAGUUAUAAUGAAGAAGUUAUGACCUGUCGAAGUUUCACGACAGAACCAACACGACACAGCGCGACGUAAAAAGUGAAUUUACGUUAGAGCGAUUUUUAGCCUUAACAAUCUAAACGAAAUUCAUAGAGUUCGUUAAACCGAGAGCGUGUAUAAAAAGAUCGUCCAAAUCUGACUUCGUAUGAGAAAGUUAUGAUUUUUCUAAGUUUCAGCUUAGCAGUAUGCAGCCCGAAUACUCGUUUUGAGAUCGAGCCGUUUUUAGCCGAAACAAUCUAAACGAGAAUCGAAGAUCUCGUCAAUGGUAGUGCAACGGUAAAAAGACAGACGAAAACGGACGUCGGAUGAAGAAGUUAUGAAUUAUAACAGAGUUUUCCUGUCUCGGCCUACUAAAAAUAAUAUAAUAAAAAUAAAUUCAAAAUUAGCCAACGGAGUCUAAAUGAAAGUUGUAGAGUAUAAUCUCACCUACGCAUGGAUAUAAAGAACGUCGAAAACGGAGCUCGUAUGCGAAAGUUAUGAAUUUUUGAAAAUCAUGGCACGCAUACCAAAGCUUAUCCGAAGAAAGCCUGGGGAUACGAGGUACGCCCAAUGUACGAGAUGGGUACGCGCAGCGCACUGCUGUUUUCCUCGGUCUAGAAGAGGGCACGUUCCCUCACCCGAAGUUUUCCACGUGGAAGCCUUAUCCGGAGUACGCCCAGCGUAUGGCCUCGGUACGCCCAGCGUAGUCCGAGGUCUCGCUGCUAUAAAAGGGCAUGCGAGGCUGCCGAUUUCUUUUGCCAAAAUCCUUCCUUUCUCUCCCCAAUUUUCCUCGUUUUGCAUGCAAGUUAUAUCCCAAAGCCGCGGUAUCAUUACCGAGCCCUGAAGCAAGUCCCGAAGCCCCGAAGAUCCCGAGAAGUGUGAUUCCCGAGCCGAAGCUUUGCCCACGAGGAGCCCGGUUUUUGUAAAGAUCUUCCAGAUCUACCGAAGAAUACUACUUCUACAAGUCGUAAUGUUGUCCGAUAAUCUUCUGAUCAAGUGAGUGUGUAGUCAAUUUCUUCUAACACAUAAAUAUUAAGUAUUUGCUAUGAAAUACGUGUUAUAUGUAUAAUAAUAUUGUUAUUUAUUUGAGAUGAUUGUGGAAUGGAUGAAUUAUAUAAGUUUUAAUGAGUUAAACUAUAUAUGUAUUUUGUAUCUAAAAAUAUGUUGGGUAGAACAUGAGUAGAUGAGGCUGUUGGUAGGUGAUAAAAGGUGGGUUGGACCAUGAGAUAAAAGGAUAAAGAGAUAAACAUGUUUUAGAUUCGAGAGUAUGGAUCAGAGCAGGAGGUUAGUUUUAGAUCCAAGGGUAUGGAUCAGAUCAAGAGGUUAGUUUUAGAUCCGUGAAUAUGGAUUAGCUAAUGAGGCAAAUUUAAGAUACGGGAGUACGGAUUAUGUAUUUUAGAGCUACGUGUUCAUUCGAUAAGGUAUCAUGUGUAUAGUCCCUCUUAGGAACGUGAUUUUAAUACGAGUAUUGAUUAUAAUAUGAAAUAUACAUAUGUAAGUGAAGUAUUUGUCAUUGUCCGAAAUACGUGUUAGAUAUAUUUGAUAAUAUACAACGUGCGAAUCAUCUAUGGUUCAAUAUGUGUUAAGAUGUGUAUAUAUGAUACUAUUACAUAAAACCUUGUGUUAAGUAUACACUAGUUAGCGUUUCCUAAACGGAGAUAGUAUUAAAAAAUUGAUUAUAAACAUUGUAGGUUUGCCUAGUGAUGGGUUAAGACUUAAAUGGGAUGUUUAGUUCAAUUAAGAUUGGAAUUUGGGUAGUCUCUUUUUAAGAGUACGUGUGGGGUGAGAUUGAUGAUCGGUGGAGUACGUCCUACGUACAGAAGUACAUUUUAUGUACGAAGUAUUUUUCAAAGCUCUGUGUCUUGGGUGCUGCUUGUGCCAGGGUACUAUUAUUUUCUCGGGUUCGAGCCUUUCGCAUACCAGGGUACUAUAAUGUGCCAGAAGUACUAUCAUGUACAAAGUCUUUUUGACAUUUUUGUGUAUCGGCUACAGGAGCGUACGGGAGUACUCUAAUAGUAUUUCCCCAUACUUUUAUUUUGAGAGAGCUUUGGAGUCAGCGUUUCUUUUAUGAAGUGAUCGACCAAGCUUCAUAUGUCAGCGUUUUCUUUCACAAAGUAAUUAAUGGAUAUUCGUAGACUGCCUAAUAAAGUGUGUCGGUAAUAGACCACUGCUAGGUAUGUCUCGUGUUAUAAUGUUGGAUAGGGUGCGUC
rnacentral:lncRNA from 1 species